rnacentral:rRNA from 1 species
UACGGGGGGAGCAAGCGUUGUUCGGAUUUACUGGGCGUAAAGGGCGCGUAGGCGGCCAGCGCAAGUCAGUUGUGAAAUCUCCGGGCUUAACUCGGAAAGGUCAACUGAUACUGCGCGGCUAGAGUGCGGAAGGGGCAACUGGAAUUCUCGGUGUAGCGGUGAAAUGCGUAGAUAUCGAGAGGAACACCUGCGGCGAAGGCGGGUUGCUGGGCUGACACUGACGCUGAUGCGCGAAAGCCAGGGGAGCGAACGGG